AUUGAACGCUGGCGGCAGGCCUAACACAUGCAAGUCGAACGAGUGGCAGGGGGGUGUGUAAUGUCGGGGAAACGGCCCGCUGGAGGGGAAUAACUACUGGAAACGGUUGCAAUUACCGCAUUCCAUCGGAUGAUCCCAGAUGGGAUUAGCGAGUAGGUGGGGUAAAGGCUCACCUAGGCGCCGAUCCCUAGCUGGUCUGAGAGGAUGACCAGCCACACUGGAACUGAGACACGGUCCAGACUCCUACGGGAGGCAGCAGUGGGGAAUAUUGCACAAUGGGCGCAAGCCUGAUACAGCCAUGCCGCGUGUAUGAAGAAGGCCUUCGGGUUUUAAAGUACUUUCAGCGAGGAGGCGUUACUCGCAGAAGAAGCACCGGCUAACUCCGUGCCAGCAGCCGCGGUAAUAC
rnacentral:rRNA from 1 species